UAUUCGAUUAUGGCUCAGAUUUAACGCUGGCGGGAUGUUUACACAUGUAAGUCGAACGCAGCACGGACUUCUGGUCUGGUGGCGAGUGGCGAACGGGUGAGUAAUGUAUCGAAUCGCUCUAGUAGCGGGGAUAACUACGCGAAAGCGGCUACCGCAUACGCCCUUCGGGGGAAAGCGGGACCUUCGGGCCUCGCACUAUUAGAGCGGCCGGGAUAUCAUGGAUUAGCUAGUUGGUGGGGCAACGGCUCACCGGGCGCGACGAUCCGUAGCUGGUUUUGAGGAGGACGACCAGCCACACUGGACUGAGACACGGCCCAGACUCCUUACGGGGAGGCAGCAGUGGGGAAUUUUGGACAAUGGGGGAACCCCGAUCCAGCCAUCCUGCGCGUGUGCGAUGAAGGCCUUCGGGUUGUAAAGCACUUUUGGCAGGAAAAGAAACGGCACGGGAUAAUACCUGCAAUUGACGGUACCUGCAGAAUAAGCACCGGCUAACUACGUGCCAGCAGCCGCGGUAAUACGUAGGGUGCAAGCGUUAAUCGGAAUUACCGGGCGUAAGCGUGCGCAGGCGGUUCGGAAAGAAAGAUGUGAAAUCCCAGAGCUUAACUUUGGAACUGCUUUAACUACCGAGCUAGAGUGUGUCAGAGGGAGGGAAUUCCGCGUGUAGGUGAAUGCGCAGAUAUGCGGAGGAACACCGAUGGCGAAGGCAGCCUCCUGGGAUAACACUGACGCUCAUGCACGAAAGCGUGGGGAGCAAACAGGAUUAGAUACUCCUAUAGCCCACGGCCUAAACGAUGUCAACUAGCUGUUGGGGCCUCGGGCCUUGGUAGCGCAGCGACCGCGUGAAGUUGACCGCCUGGGGAGUACGGUCGCAAGAUUAAAACUCAAAGGAAUUGGACGGACCCGCACAAGCGGUGGAUGAUGUGGAUUAAUCGAUGCAAUGCUAAAGUCACCUACCCUUGACAUGUCUGGAAUCCCGAAGGAUUUGGGAGUGCCUGCAAGAGAACCGGAACACAGGUGCUGCAUGGCUGUCGUCAGCCUGUGUCGUGAGAUGUUGGGUUAAGUCCCGCAACGAGCGCAACCCUGUCAUUAGUUGCUACGAAAGGGCACUUGGCAUCGAGACUGCUGCGACAAACCGAGGGAAGGUGGGAUGGACAAGUCCUCAUGGCCUUAUGGGUAGGGCUUGGCACGUCAUAUAAUGGUCGACAGAGGGUCGCCAACCCGCGAGGGGGAGCCAAUCCCAGAAACCCGAUCGUAGUCCGGAUCGCAGUCUGCAACUCGACUGCGUGAAGUCGGAAUCGCUAGUAAUCGCGGAUCAGCAUGUCGCGGUGAAUACGUUCCCGGGUCCUGUACAAUAUCGCCCGUCACACCAUGGGAGUGGGUUUUACCAGAAGUAGUUAGCCUAACCGUAAGGAGGGCGAUUACCACGGUAGGAUUCAUGACUGGGGUGAAGUCGUAACAAGGUA
rnacentral:rRNA from 1 species